CUGCUAAUUUAUUUCAUGAGAGGGGCAUACGCGCAGUGUCAGGUGCACGGACGCCCACGCGGUGUAAAUUCGGCGACUGGAAUAGCGUGGGUGGCGCUCUGAAUUAGCUAAUGUCAAGCGGAGACGCAACCGGCUGUUAUUCAUCGCGAUGCAACGUAUAUCUUU